UGAUGGGUCACCAAAAAAACAAAAUAUUUUUAGGGCAAAUCAUUUCAGCCUCCCCAAUCGCCUCAUCUCUACUCUCGUUCUCGACUCUGAACUUGCCCUUUCUCUCUCUAUCUGCAGCCAAAAUCUAGAAGAAUGAGAAGUUCAAAAACCAUAUAUUUCAGUUUAUCUAUCUGUCUACAAGAAUCAAAAGUUCAAAACCUAUUACCUAUAUCAAGACCCAUAUCGGCAUAUCAUUUCAGAUUGUUCAAAAAAUCAAAACCCAUAUCUUUCAGUUUCCAUAGCCCGCUGUUCCAGUUCGGGUUCGCCGUUCGCAAGUUUCAGCCGCUGCCUCUCAACUCUCAAGCUUGCCCCCUCUCUCUCUCUGCAACUGCUAACUUGGUUAGCAUCGGGCCUUAACAUUUAGCAAGGAUAAGGUUCAAGAAACAUACCUCCUCAGUCAUCAGGUCUCUUUUCUGAAAGAAGAGAAUUGAUGGGAAUGGGUGGAGCAGGGAAAAAGAAAAUAGGAUAUUAGCUCAAUUUUGCCAAUAUAUAUCCGUCAACCACAUAGCUGUCUAUGUGAUGCGCUUCGUGGAUGUUCUCUUGAGCUUCAUUACAAUUCCUAUUGGAACCAUUAUUAGACUCACCCUUGAAGUAGCAUCGAAAUGGGAGAUUGGUUGCCUGAACAAGUUAUACUAAAGUAUUGAGAAUCUUGAUAAUAAACAUUUGCAGGGUGUGAACAAGGACAUGCUGCUAUAGCCUCGGAGUGCUGCUGAAAUUUACUGCAAAAACCUUGAACAAAAUUUUGUUAAUAGUACUACUAAUGAGUACUAUGGAUUGGUACUAUAUGCACGUUUUGUAAGAAUUUGAUAAUACAUUAUUAGAUUCAUUUUUUAACAAGUUAAGCUUUUUAAUCGAAA